AAGAUAAUUAAAAGAGAAUAUUAGUUUUUUUCAUUUAAAAAAUGUUAAUCAGCUUAAUAUACUAUAUAAACAUAUACUUAGAAACUUUUCUCUUGUUAUUUCUGACAAUCCAGUCUUAGACAAUUAUCAGUGGGAAAAGUGCAUAGAAACUAUUGAUCUUAAGGCAUUUGCAUAUAUAUAUAUAUGUAUGUAUAUAUAUAUAUGUGUAUGUGUGUGUGUGUGUGUGUAUGUGUCUAAUUUGAGAAAUAUAGCAGAUCCCUAACUAUAUUUUAAUUUCCUUUUUAAUUUUGUUUUACCUGUUCUCUAAGACUUAAGAUAUCCUAACAUUUUUAGCAAAAAAUCAAUUGAGUAACAAAGGGAGGGACCUUAGAUGAAAGGUCCUACAGUUGGGAGAGGGAACUUGUAGAGCCCACCUCCAGCAGAAAGACAGGGCAUCAAGUGAGGGAUGGGGUUGCCAUCCCACAGUCACAUCUCUGACCCAUAAUUGUUCCUCUCUGAAAAAACUACAGGGGUGGAAAUGGAGAAGAGUCUGAGGAAAAGAAGGUCCAGCAGCGGGCCCAAAGUGGGAUCAAACUCAGGGGGAGGCCCCAACACUACUGAGGCUACGGAACACUCACAAAAAGGGAUGGGAGGAGAGGCACUUAGUCUUGUGAAAGUCCUAUGCCCCAGUAUAGGGAAAUGCCAGGGCCAAGAAGUGGGAGUGGGUGGGUUGGUGAACAAGGGGGAGGGGGGAGGGGAUUUUCAGAGAGGAAAUUAGGAAAGGGCAUAACAUUUGAAAUGUAAAUAAAGAAAAUAAUAAAAACAAAAAGGGACCUAUCAUGACUGCCCUCUGAGGGACCUGGCAGGCAGCUGAAAGAGUCAGAUGCAGAUAUUUGCACCCAUCCAGUGGACAGAAGCUGCUGACUCCUGCGGUUGAGUUGGGGAAAAACUGAAGGAAGCUGAGGAGGAGGACAGCGCUGUAGGAAGACCAGCAGUCUCAAUUAACCUGGACCCCAGAGAUCCCUCAGACACCGGACCACCAACCAGGAGGCAUGAACCAGCUGAUAUGAGGCCCCCAACACAUAUACAGUGGAGGACUGCUGGGUCUGUGUUCUGUCAGAGAGGAUGCACCUAACCCUCAGGAGAUUGGAGGCCCCAGGGAGUUUAGAGGUCUGGUGGGGUGGGAGGUGGGGAGACAGGGCAGCGGGGAGGAGGUGUGGAAUGUGAAACACUCUGACAGUGGACCGGUAGGGGAAUGGAAUCUGAUGUG
rnacentral:lncRNA from 1 species